rnacentral:rRNA from 1 species
UACAAAGUACCCUGAGGGAAAGUUGAAAAGAACUUUGAAGAGAGAGUUCAAUAGUACGUGAAACCGUUCAGAGUAAAACGGGUGGAGCCGCGUAGUCGCCAGUCUGAUUCAGCUGUAUCUGCAUUGGUUAGGGCGCUUUCGACGUGCACGUUCAGUCUGCUUGCGGGCUGAGUGGCACGCGGAGCGCUGUGCAUGGCGCGGAUCAGUGCUCUUCAGGCUGGCGUGCACCACGAGCUGUUCACUUGCUGUCAGCAGCGGUCGUGCUUGGAAGCUGCCCUUUUCGGAGGUCAGCGGAGGGCUCGACAGCGGGGCGGACCAGUCGAGUGGACAGAGGAGAAGCAACGUGCAGCUCUCGCUGUAUGGCGUGGACUGUCGCCGGGGGGCCGGUUGUGCGCUUUUUUUUCUACUCUGCUAGAGACUAGGGCGCACGCCGGUCGCGCGGCGGUAGUUUUCUCUACGGGAGCUGCAGUUCAGUGGUGAUUUUGUCGGUUCUCCACCCGACCCGUCUUGAAACACGGACCAAGGAGUCUAACAUGUGCGCGAGUCAUUGGGGAGUACGAAACCCAAAGGCGUAAUGAAAGUGAGGUGCCGGUUUUCGCCGUGCACUGGUGGGAUCCUGCAGUUGCUAUACUGCGGGCGGACCACCGGCCCGUUUUCUGGCCUUGUGCCUGAGGCGGAGCAGGAGCGUACAUGUUGGGACCCGAAAGAUGGUGAACUAUGGCUGGUUAGGAUGAAGCCAGAGGAAACUCUGGUGGAAGUCCGUAGCGAUUCUGACGUGCAAAUCGAUCGUCAAAACUGGCUAUAGGGGCGAAAGACUAAUCGAACCAUCUAGUAGCUGGUUCCCUU